UACGUAGGGGGCUGAGCGUUGUCCGGAUUAUUGGCGUAAAGAGCUCGUAGGUGGUUCGGUAAGUCGAUGUGAAAUCUCCAGGCUCAACCUGGAGGGUCAUUCGAUACUGCCGUGACUAGAGUUGGUAGAGGAGUGUGGAAUUCCUGGUGGAGCGGUGAAAUGCGCAGAGAUCAGGAGGAACACCCGUAGCGAAGGCGGCACUCUGGGCCGAUACUGCACUGAGGAGCGAAAGCGUGGGGGAGCGAACAGG
rnacentral:rRNA from 1 species